UUCAGAUGUUUGCAGUGGCAGAGAGCCUUGGGGGUUAUGAACGUUUAGCAGAACAUCCGGCAAUUAUGACCCAUGCGUCAGUGCCGGAGAAUGUGAGGGCCAUUCUGGGGAUCAGUGACACUCUGAUCCGCCUCUCGGUGGGAUUGGAGGACACGGCUGACAUAAUCGAAGACCUUGACCAGGCACUGAAUGCAGCUCAUCCAAAGAAGAACUGAAACAUCGUCAUGCCAUCC